rfam:Gossypium hirsutum cultivar TM-1 chromosome 4, whole genome shotgun sequence
AUUCCAUGAAGAGGUCACUUUCGUAGUAAUUAUUUGUACCUUUCCCAUGCCUCAUACAAGGACUCAUCAUCCAUUUGUUGGAAAGCAGUGAUCUCGUUCCUUAACUU